rnacentral:rRNA from 1 species
AGUUUGAUCCUGGCUCAGGAUGACCGCUGGCGGCGUGCCUAACACAUGCAAGUCGAACGAAGCAAAAUAAAGGAAGUUUUCGGAUGGAAUUUAUUUUGACUGAGUGGCGGACGGGUGAGUAACGCGUGGGUAACCUGCCUUUCACUGGGGGAUAACAUCCAGAAAUGGGUGCUAAUACCGCAUACCUUGUCUUUUUCGCAUGAGAGAGAGAAGAAAAUUUAUCGGUGAAAGAUGGACCCGCGUCUGAUUAGCUAGUUGGUGAGGUAAUGGCUCACCAAGGCGACGAUCAGUAGCCGACCUGAGAGGGUGACCGGCCACAUUGGGACUGAGACACGGCCCAAACUCCUACGGGAGGCAGCAGUGGGGAAUAUUGCACAAUGGGGGAAACCCUGAUGCGGCGACGCCGCGUGAGUGAUGAAGUAUGUCGGUAUGUAAAACUCUAUCAGCAGGGAAUAUAAUGACGGUACCUGACUAACAAGCACCGGCUAAAUACGUGCCAGCAGCCGCGGUAAUACGUAUGGUGCAAGCGUUAUCCGGAUUUACUGGGUGUAAAGGGAGUGUAGGUGGCAAGGCAAGUCCAAAGUGAAAGCCCGUGGCUCAACCCCGGGACUGCUUCUGAAACUGCUUGGCUAUAGUGCACGAGAGGUAAGUGGAAUUCCUAGUGUAGCGGUGAAAUGCGUAGAUAUUAGGAGGAACACCAGUGGCGAAGGCGGCUUACUGGACUGUAACUGACACUGAGGCUCGAAAGCGUGGGGAGCAAACAGGAUUAGAUACACUGGUAGUCCACGCCGUAAACGAUGAAUACUAGGUGUCGGAGUCGUCAAGACUUCGGUGCCGCAGCUAACGCAUUAAGUAUUCCACAUGGGGAGUACGUUCGCAAGAAUGAAACUCAAAGGAAUUGACGGGGACCCGCACAAGCGGUGGAGCAUGUGGUUUAAUUCGAAGCAACGCGAAGAACCUUACCAAGUCUUGACAUCCCUCUGACCGGUCCGUAAUGGGACUUUCCCUUCGGGGCAGAGGAGACAGGUGGUGCAUGGUCGUCGUCAGCUCGUGUCGUGAGAUGUUGGGUUAAGUCCCGCAACGAGCGCAACCCUUACCCUUAGUAGCCAGCAAGUUAAGUUGGGCACUGUAGGGAGACUGCCGGGGAUAACCUGGAGGAAGGUGGGGAUGACGUCAAAUCAUCAUGCCCCUUAUGAUUUGGGCUACACACGUGCUACAAUGGCGUAGACAAAGAGAAGCAACAGCGCGAGCUCAAGCAAAUAUCAAAAAUAACGUCCCAGUUCGGAUUGUAGUCUGCAACUUGACUACAUGAAGCUGGAAUCGCUAGUAAUCGCGAAUCAGAAUGUCGCGGUGAAUACGUUCCCGGGUCGUUGUACACACCGCCCGUC